CAGGGAGACAAAAACUGAUCAUGAUGCUUGAGUGCUUUAAUCUCAAGCCUUGAUCCUGUCACCUUAGGUCGAUCGGUACCUCAGAUUGAGAACCAAAUUGAUUGCUAUUUGAUAUAGCUCUCAUGUUUGUAAUAGAUUUCAGUUCCUAAACUUGUCUAGGUCACACCCCGCAAGGGUUAAUCCUGGGCCAUUAGCUCAGGUGGUUAGAGCGCACCCCUGAUAAGGGUGAGGUCCCUGGUUCAAGUCCAGGAUGGCCCAUUCGGUGUUGGGGGUUUAGCUCAGUUGGUAGAGCGCCUGCUUUGCAAGCAGGAUGUCAGCGGUUCGAGUCCGCUAACCUCCACUGACCAACCUCCUCCAACGAUUAACUGUUGAGGCCCUUUGCUCUGAUGUGAUUUAGACUUUAAGCUCCGGCUGAAUGAACCUAGCCUCCUAUCAUUCCUUAUUAAAUAAUAAUUAGGCUGAAAGGAUGCUGGGCUCUCUGCAAUUAAUAAUAAUUGCGGAUGUGUUCGGCAGAACCUUGACAACUGCGUAGGUGAGUCUGAAAAGAAUAAAGCAUCUCAUGGAUGCAUUUUUCUACUUGUUGAACUAAAUAUUUAACUGUAGAAAAAUGUUUAAUUCUUGAGCAAAAGCUGAGACUCUAUAACGUUCUUUUGAGGUUAUAUCUAACCUCGAGAGUUUGAUUUUCUAUUUAAACCAUCAUCUGGAUUUAUUUAUUGGUUCUUACUAAUAAUGAUUCAAUGAAAGUUGAAUAGUUUAGAAAACGACUCAACACCGUUAAACGCUAUAGAGAUAAUU
rnacentral:tRNA from 1 species